AAUGAACGUUGGCGGCGUGGAUUAGGCAUGCAAGUCGCGCGAGAACUGUAGCAAUACAGGGAAAGCGGCGUAAGGGACAGUAAUACCUAGAAACGUAUCCCCGGGUCUGGGAUAGCGGCGGGAAACUGCCGGUAAUACCAGAUAACGUCUCCGGACCAAAGGUGUGAUUCCACCUGGGGAGCGGUCUAGGCCCUAUUAGCUUGUUGGGGGGGUAACGGCCUACCAAGGCAAAGAUGGGUAGCAGGUGUGAGAGAAAGACCUGCGUCACUGGGAAUGAGACACUGCCCAGACACAUACGGGUGGCUGCAGUCGAGAAUCUUCGGCAAAGGGCGAAAGCCUGGCCGAGCGACGCCGCGUGCGGGAUGAAGGCCUUCGGGUUGUAAACCGCUGUCGAAGGGGAUGAAAUUCCGGUGGGUUCUCUUGCCGGAUUGACAGAUCCUUGGAGGAAGGACGGGCUAAGUUCGUGCCAGCCGCCGCGGUAAUAC
rnacentral:rRNA from 1 species